GAUGAAGAACGUAGCGAAAUGCGAUAAGUAAUGUGAAUUGCAGAAUUCAGUGAAUCAUCGAAUCUUUGAACGCACAUUGCGCCCCCUGGUAUUCCGGGGGGCAUGCCUGUCCGAGCGUCAUUACAACCCUCAAGCUCAGCUUGGUAUUGGGCCCCGCCGACCCGGCGGGCCCUAAAGUCAGUGGCGGUGCCGUCCGGCUCCGAGCGUAGUAAUUCUUCUCGCUCUGGAGGUCCGGUCGUGUGCUCGCCAGCAACCCCCAAUUUUUUUCAGGUUGACCUCGGAUCAGGUAGGGAUACCUGCUGAACUUAAGCAUAUCAAUAAGCGGAGGA
rnacentral:misc_RNA from 1 species